rnacentral:tRNA from 2 species
GGCAUUGAAAAGAUUGGCAUUUCUACCGACUUUUAAUCAGUAGGUCGCUGGUUCGAACCCAGCUGGACUCACCA